rnacentral:rRNA from 1 species
UACGUAGGGUGCGAGCGUUAAUCGGAAUUACUGGGCGUAAAGCGUGCGCAGGCGGUUAUGAAGACAGAUGUGAAAUCCCCGGGCUUAACCUGGGACCUGCAUUUGUGACUGCAUUGCUGGAGUGCGGCAGAGGGGGAUGGAAUUCCGCGUGUAGCAGUGAAAUGCGUAGAUAUGCGGAGGAACACCGAUGGCGAAGGCAAUCCCCUGGGCCUGCACUGACGCUCAUGCACGAAAGCGUGGGGAGCAAACAGG